GCAGCAGUAGGGNNNCUUCGGCAAUGGACGAAAGUCUGACCGAGCAACGCCGCGUGAGUGAAGAAGGUUUUCGGAUCGUAAAACUCUGUUGUUAGAGAAGAACAAGGACGUUAGUAACUGAACGUCCCCUGACGGUAUCUAACCAGAAAGCCACGGCUAACUACGUGCCAGCAGCCG
rnacentral:rRNA from 1 species